rnacentral:misc_RNA from 1 species
GAUGAAGAACGCAGCAAAAUGCGAUAAGUAAUGUGAAUUGCAGAAUUCAGUGAAUCAUCGAAUCUUUGAACGCACAUUGCGCCCGCUGGUAUUCCGGCGGGCAUGCCUGUUCGAGCGUCAUUUCAACCCUCAAGCCCCCGGGUUUGGUGUUGGGGAUCGGCUCUGCCCUUCUGGGCGGUGCCGCCCCCGAAAUACAUUGGCGGUCUCGCUGCAGCCUCCAUUGCGUAGUAGCUAACACCUCGCAACUGGAACGCGCCGCGGCCAUGCCGUAAAACCCCAACUUCUGAAUGUUGACCUCGGAUCAGGUAGGAAUACCCGCUGAACUUAAGCAUAUCAAUAAGCGGAGGA